CGCCUUUAGAGUUUGAUCAUGGCUCAGAUUGAACGCUGGCGGCAGGCUUAACACAUGCAAGUCGAACGGUAAGAAAGCUUGCUUUCUACGAGUGGCGGACGGGUGAGUAAUGCUUGGGAAUCUGGCUUAUGGAGGGGGAUAACUACGGGAAACUGUAGCUAAUACCGCGUAGAAUCGGAAGAUGAAAGUGCGCAAGCAUGCCAUGAGAUGAGCCCAAGUGGGAUUAGGUAGUUGGUGGGGUAAAGGCCUACCAAGCCUGCGAUCUCUAGCUGGUCUGAGAGGAUGGCCAGCCACACUGGAACUGAGACACGGUCCAGACUCCUACGGGAGGCAGCAGUGGGGAAUAUUGCGCAAUGGGGGGAACCCUGACGCAGCCAUGCCGCGUGAAUGAAGAAGGCCUUCGGGUUGUAAAGUUCUUUCGGUAUUGAGGAAGGUUGAUGUUAAUACAUCAAAUUGACGUUAAAUACAGAAGAAGCACCGGCUAACUCCGUGCCAGCAGCCGCGGUAAUACGGAGGGUGCGAGCGUUAAUCGGAAUAACUGGGCGUAAAGGGGACGCAGGCGGUUAUUAAGUGAGUGUGGAAAGCCCCGGCUCACCUGGG
rnacentral:rRNA from 1 species